GCCCAGCUAGCUCAGUUGGUAGAGCGUGGGACUCUUAAUCCUAGGGUCGUGGGUUCAAACCCCACGUUGGGCG
rnacentral:tRNA from 1 species